GAUGAACGCUGGCGGCGUGCCUAAUACAUGCAAGUCGAGCGAACGGACGAGAAGCUUGCUUCUCUGAUGUUAGCGGCGGACGGGUGAGUAACACGUGGAUAACCUACCUAUAAGACUGGUUAACUUCGGGAAACCGGAGCUAAUACCGGAUAAUAUUUUGAACCGCAUGGUUCAAAAGUGAAAGACGGUCUUGCUGUCACUUAUAGAUGGAUCCGCGCUGCAUUAGCUAGUUGGUAAGGUAACGGCUUACCAAGGCAACGAUGCAUAGCCGACCUGAGAGGGUGAUCGGCCACACUGGAACUGAGACACGGUCCAGACUCCUACGGGAGGCAGCAGUAGGGAAUCUUCCGCAAUGGGCGAAAGCCUGACGGAGCAACGCCGCGUGAGUGAUGAAGGUCUUCGGAUCGUAAAACUCUGUUAUUAGGGAAGAACAUAUGUGUAAGUAACUGUGCACAUCUUGACGGUACCUAAUCAGAAAGCCACGGCUAACUACGUG
rnacentral:rRNA from 1 species